UGGGGAAUAUUGCACAAUGGGCGCAAGCCUGAUGCAGCCAUGCCGCGUGUAUGAAGAAGGCCUUCGGGUUGUAAAGUACUUUCAGCGGGGAGGAAGGUGUUGAGGUUAAUAACCUCAGCAAUUGACGUUACCCGCAGAAGAAGCACCGGCUAACUCCGUGCCAGCAGCCGCGGAAAUACGGAGGGGGCAAGCGUUAAUAGGAAUGACUGGGCGUAAAGCGCACGCAGGCGGUCUGUCAAGUCGGAUGUGAAAUCCCCGGGCUCAACCUGGGAACUGCAUUCGAAACUGGCAGGCUAGAGUCUUGUAGAGGGGGGUAGAAUUCCAGGUGUAGCGGUGAAAUGCGUAGAGAUCUGGAGGAAUACCGGUGGCGAAGGCGGCCCCCUGGACAAAGACUGACGCUCAGGUGCGAAAGCGUGGGGAGCAAACA
rnacentral:rRNA from 1 species